UGACCCAACAAUGGAUUGAAACAACCCAACAUUUUUUUAGAGUAGACAGGGAGUUUUUGUACACUAUAUUGGGUUAAUACUGUCAGUGUGACAAUGCUUUUGACUACUGGGGAAAAGGAACCAUGGUCACUGUAUCGUCAGCUGAGCCACAACGACCAACGUAUGGCUUUGGCCUUUCUGAAUGUGGUUCCGGUUCUGAUCCCUUACUGACUGUCGGCUGCAUUGCAAAAGGUUUCUCGCCCGCGGACUCGCUCUCCAUUACAUGGACAGAUUUUAAAGGAGAUCCGGUGAAUGAUUUUGUGCAGUAUCCAACAAUCGGACACCAGGGAGGUUACACCAAAAUCAGCCAUCUGCUUGUGAAGAAAAGCGACUUUACUCCUGAUAAACCUUACAAAUGCAUAGCUAAAAAUUCUGCCGGAGAAUUGGAAAUACCUGUUGCUCGAGCCCUCCCAGAGCCAGAUCAGCCUGCAUCUGUGUACUUAACAACUCCUACAAAAGAGGAAUUAGACAGUGGAACAGCUACUUUCAUCUGUGUAGCCAAGCACUUUUCCCCAGAAAAGCACUCGUUUAAGUGGUUUCAUGAUGAUAAGGAGGUGAAAAGUGAAGGAAAUAAUGAUGAAUGCUUAGGUAAGAAGAAAACCAAUGUAACUCUAUUUACCGCCACAAGCAUUUUGCAAUUAAAAGCUGACCGUUGGACCAAGCCUGGACACAACAUUAAGUGCCUGUUCGAGCACAAGGCUGGAAAUGAAGAGAAAAAAAUUGGCAACACAGUUUCUUCCACAGAUUCAUGUAUUUCUGCUCAUUUCAUCGCUCCAUCCUGGGAGGACAUGUUGAAAAACAAAGGUGGAAUUCUGACAUGCAGAGCUUCAGGAGAAAUUGGGUUCAAAAAAAUGGAAAUUAAAAUGAAAGAAUCCGGACGUAUCAUCAGUUCUGCUGAAAACAUUGCAGAUAAGAAAACUGUUGAAAGUGUGGCCACUAUAGGUUUUGAAGAAUGGAGCAAUGGAACAGAAUUUUUGUGUAUCAUUGAACACGAAUCUUCAGGAGUGCCCACAGAGAUUGUGUAUGUCAGAGAAAACGGUGCACAUCCGUACACAAGACCCUCUGUUUACAUAUUAGCACCCCCAGAGCAGAGAGAGGGUGAAAGUGUGACCCUGACAUGUUAUGUGAAGGACUUCUACCCCAUGGAGGUGUUUGUAUCUUGGCUUGCUGAUGAUGAAUCUGUUUUUGAGUACAUGGCAAAAAACACUAGCACGCCAAUACUGAACGAUAAAACCUAUAGUGUCUAUAGUCAGCUCACACUUGACUCUUCCAAGUGGAAAGAUGGUACAGUGUAUAGUUGUGUAGUCUACCAUGAAAGCAUUGAUGAGACUUUGAAAGUAUUGACAAGAUCUAUUUCCAAUAAUUCGGAUAAACCCAGUAUAUUUAAUCUUAGUAUGAAUAAUCCUGCAAUCUGCUGCAAGGCUUAGACCAUAAUAUAAAUGUUGUGUCUGACUGCAUGUUAUGCCUGUUACAUGUUUAUCCUAAUUUUUUUCUUUUUUUUUUCUUUUUUUGAAUGAUUUUUAAAUGUCAUGUCCAUAUUUGUAAGUGUCUGUGUCAUUAAUGUUUGUAGCCUGUUGCUUAUAUUGUUAUCACAUUGGGAGAAAAAAGUUAAUAAAAAACCUAAGCAUA